GGCCGCCUGGCGAAAUGGCAUCGCGUCUGACUACGACUGGAGUUGACUGCUUGCGGUGAUCAGGAGAUUGCAGGUUCGACCCCUGCGGUGGUCA